UGGGGAAUAUUGCACAAUGGGCGAAAGCCUGAUGCAGCAACGCCGCGUGAGUGAUGAAGGCCUUCGGGUUGUAAAGCUCUGUCUUUUGGGACGAUAAUGACGGUACCAAAGGAGGAAGCCACGGCUAACUACGUGCCAGCAGCCGCGGUAAUACGUAGGUGGCAAGCGUUGUCCGGAUUUACUGGGCGUAAAGGAUGCGUAGGCGGAUUUUUAAGUGAGAUGUGAAAUACCCGGGCUUAACUUGGGUGCUGCAUUUCAAACUGGGAAUCUAGAGUGCGGGAGAGGAGAAUGGAAUUCCUAGUGUAGCGGUGAAAUACGUAGAGAUUAGGAAGAACACCAGUGGCGAAGGCGAUUCUCUGGACCGUAACUGACGCUGAGGCAUGAAAGCGUGGGUAGCAAACAGGAUUAGAUACCCUGGUAGUCCACGCCGUAAACGAUGAGUACUAGGUGUAGGAGGUAUCGACCCCUUCUGUGCCGCAGUUAACACAAUAAGUACUCCGCCUGGGAAGUACGAUCGCAAGAUU
rnacentral:rRNA from 1 species